CACAAGCUGGCAGACUAAAUGCGUACGAUUUAAGCUCGUCUCAUAAGAUUUUAUUCUUGUUUGUGU
rnacentral:tRNA from 1 species